rnacentral:tRNA from 1 species
GCCUAGGUGGCUCAGUCAGUAGAGCAUGAGACUCUUGAUCUCGAGAUGUUGAGUUCUAGCCUCGUUGGGGGUA